GCUUGCUCUUAUGAAGUUAGCGGCGGACGGGUGAGUAACACGUGGGUAACCUGCCCAUAAGACUGGGAUAACUCCGGGAAACCGGGGCUAAUACCGGAUAACAUUUUGAACCGCAUGGUUCGAAAUUGAAAGGCGGCUUCGGCUGUCACUUAUGGAUGGACCCGCGUCGCAUUAGCUAGUUGGUGAGGUAACGGCUCACCAAGGCAACGAUGCGUAGCCGACCUGAGAGGGUGAUCGGCCACACUGGGACUGAGACACGGCCCAGACUCCUACGGGAGGCAGCAGUAGGGAAUCUUCCGCAAUGGACGAAAGUCUGACGGAGCAACGCCGCGUGAGUGA
rnacentral:rRNA from 1 species